UUUUAUUUGAGAGUUUGAUCCUGGCUCAGGAUGAACGCUGGCGGCGUGCCUAACACAUGCAAGUUGAGCGAUUUACUUCGGUAAAGAGCGGCGGACGGGUGAGUAACGCGUGGGUAACCUACCCUGUACACACGGAUAACAUACCGAAAGGUAUGCAAUACGGGAUAAUAUAUUGAGAGGCAUCUCUUGAAUAUCAAAGGUGAGCCAGUACAGGAUGACCCGCGUCUGAUUAGCUAGUUGGUAAGGUAACGGCUUACCAAGGCGACGAUCAGUAGCCGACCUGAGAGGUGAUCGGCCACAUUGGAACUGAGACACGGUCCAAACUCCUACGGGAGGCAAGCAGUGGGGAAU
rnacentral:rRNA from 1 species